rnacentral:tRNA from 1 species
CAGGGAGACAACAAAAUGUUUAAUAUUAUUAUUUUGUCACCUUAGGUCGAUCGGUAUCUCACUUUCUUAAUUUAUUAAGAAUUUCAUUUCCUAAGUUUUUUCUAGGUCACACCCAUUAUUUUCCUGGGCCAUUAGCUCAGGUGGUUAGAGCGCACCCCUGAUAAGGGUGAGGUCCCUGGUUCAAGUCCAGGAUGGCCCAUAUCUCUAUGUUGGGGGUAUAGCUCAGUUGGUAGAGCGCCUGCUUUGCAAGCAGGAUGUCAGCGGUUCGAGUCCGCUUACCUCCACUGAUUACCACCUCUUCCAUAAUAUGUAAGAAGGGAAAUUUUUUGAGUCGUGAUCAAAAUUCUGAACGAAUCUAGCAUCCUAAUGAAAUCAUUAAGACGCUGGACUCAUUGAAUUAAUUUCAUUGUUUUCAGAGAACCUUGACAACUGCAUAGAUUAUUUUUAAAGACAAUAAGCAUCUUUAAUGAUGCAGAUUUAUUAUUUGUGCAAAUGCAUUAAUAACAAUUCUAUUAAGCUGAUGCUUCAAUUUUGAAGUUAUU